GCAUUCAAGAGAAUCCGGAAAGUCUAAACCUUGUCUUUCAAUGACGGGUAAGGCGGUCAAGCUACCUGCGCCUGUCUGGUCCGAUCAUUUAGCGGCUCUUUCUAAGAGACGGGAAUGU